rnacentral:rRNA from 1 species
GAUGAACGCUGGCGGCGUGCCUAAUACAUGCAAGUCGAGCGAACGGACGAGAAGCUUGCUUCUCUGAUGUUAGCGGCGGACGGGUGAGUAACACGUGGAUAACCUACCUAUAAGACUGGGAUAACUUCGGGACACCGUAGCUAAUACCGUAUAAUAUUUUGAACCGCAUGGUUCAAAAGUGAAAGACGGUCUUGCUGUCACUUAUAGAUGGAUCCGCGCUGCAUUAGCUAGUUGGUAAGGUAACGGCUUACCAAGGCAACGAUGCAUAGCCGAACUGAGAGGGGGAUCGGCCACACUGGAACUGAGACACGGUCCUGACGCCUAAGGGAGGCAGCAGUAGGGAAUGGUCCGCAGUGGGCGAAAGCAUGACGGAGCAACGCCGCGUGAGUGAUGAAGGUCCUGGGAUCGUAAUACUCUGUUAUUAGGGAAGAACAUAUGUGUAAGUAACUGUGCACAGAUUGACGGUACUUAAUCAGAAAGCCACGGCUAACUACGUG